AUAAGAAUGCUUGGACAAGAUCUUUUUGAUCAGUGGCACAGUAGGACGCUGGCUUCUUUCUGGCCAUGCAGAACAACAUGCCAGAAUAAAAAUGUGCCUUAUUGUUUUUAUGGAAGACAUAUGGAAGGGAGCAGCAAGUACUUCAAGAGUGGCCAGUCAUAAAUGUCACUGAAGAAGGGACAUCAAGAUGAUCGGUCAGAACUAUGACUCAAGACAGAAGAUAAAGUCUUUCUCUAACAAGUUGAAAUGCUCCUUAUUGAGACAAGCUGUACAGCAGAGCAACUGCAGUAGAAGCAUUUGUCCUCUUGGCUAGAGUGUAUUGUGGAUCCACUGUACAAGAACAUUUUCAAAGGUACAACUACUUAUUUUGAAACACAUCUUCAGAGUAAAAAAAGUAAAUAAAUCCAGAGAACAUACAAAUGUCUAAUCAUUCCCAAGACAUUAAGGAGAAUUAUUAGAAUUACGUUGAACAAAGCAGGAGAAGCAGAAGGAAAUUCACCCUUGCAUUACUGAAGAUUGUGAAACAAUGGAGUCUUUUAUCUGCCAACUUCUAUUGAGUUUGCUUAGCAGGAAGCAGUAGAUGAACCCCUACGCAUCAGAAUAGUUAUGUGCAGGACGCUGCCAUCACAGCUGACAUCAGUCACAUCACUCAAGCUACUUCUUGAGAAAUGGGUUCAAUGGUGCUUGAGAUAAAGUGUAGAACACAUAGAAACCAAAGGAAGAUUUCUAGGAAGCCAGAAAGGCUAAAAGGGAGACAGAUCAUGUGUCUGCCUUUCUCUCAGACGCUGAAGGAGCACAAAGCUUUAGGGCACAGUUCGUCACAUAUUAUGGCAGGCCACCCAGCUCCUAUUUCUGCUACUUCAGUGCAGGUAUGUUUUUUUAUAGUGCAUGUAAGGAUUUAAUCUAUCUUAAAAAAAAAAAAGAGGAGAGGCCAAAAUCAGCCCAUAACCUGUGGACAAGGAGGUUGGACUUGUCUGUCUCCCCAUCCACAUAAAGCAAAGCACUGGACAAUGGGAAGCAACAGUUGAAUGAUGGCAAGUCAACCUAAGUCAACGUCUCAGGCAACUACUUUACCCACAGUGUUAGCAGCAGCAGCUGAAUGAUGGUAAGUCCAAGUUGUGUCUCAGACAUCUGCUUUACCUAGAGCACUAUCAGUAUGUUGACUCUUCUCACUGCAUAGCCACACCCAGGUUAUGCCAGGCAAUUUUCUCUUCUGUGUGCCCUAGGAGUCUU